UUGUAAAGAACCAUAACAGGAAGUGGUCCCCCUCUUAGCCUGGUCCCAGAUCUGUUUGUAAAGAACCAUAACAGGAAGUGGUCCCCCUCUUAGCCUGGUCCCAGAUCUGUUUGUAAAGAACCAUAACAGGAAGUGGUCCCCCUCUUAGCCUGGUCCCAGAUCUGUUUGUAAAGAACCAUAACAGGAAGUGGUCCCCCUAUUAGCCUGGUCCCAGAUCUGUUUGUAAAGAACCAUAACAGGAAGUGGUCCCCCUCUUAGCCUGGUCCCAGAUCUGUUUGUAAAGAACCAUAACAGGAAGUGGUCCCCCUCUUAGCCUGGUCCCAGAUCUGUUUGUAAAGAACCAUAACAGGAAGUGGUCCCCCUCUUAGCCUGGUCCCAGAUCUGUUUGUAAGGCUAAGAGUGGAGGCUAGUCCACCCUCUCUCCUUUACAUCCCUGUUCUCCUCUCCAAGCCAAUCUCCAGGUUUAGUGUUGCACAAUUCCCCUAAUUCUGAAUCUCCCUAGCCAGGCUUCAGCUUCAGGACUGUUCUGAAUCUCCCUGGUCAGGUUUCACCUUCAGGACUGUUCUGAAUCUCCCUGGUCAGGUUUCACCUUCAGGACUGUUCUGAAUCUCCCUGGUCAGGUUUCACCUUCAGGACUGUUCUGAAUCUCCCUGGUCAGGUUUCACCUUCAGGACUGUUCUGAAUCUCCCUGGUCAGGUUUCACCUUCAGGACUGUUCUGAAU
ensembl:lncRNA